rnacentral:rRNA from 1 species
AGAGUUUGAUCCUGGCUCAGAUUGAACGCUGGCGGCAUGCCUUACACAUGCAAGUCGAACGGCAGCACGGGGGCAACCCUGGUGGCGAGUGGCGAACGGGUGAGUAAUACAUCGGAACGUGUCCUGUCGUGGGGGAUAACCAGUCGAAAGACUGGCUAAUACCGCAUGAGAUCGAGAGAUGAAAGCAGGGGACCGCAAGGCCUUGCGCGAUUGGAGCGGCCGAUGUCGGAUUAGCUUGUUGGCGGGGUAAAAGCCCACCAAGGCGACGAUCCGUAGCUGGUUUGAGAGAACGACCAGCCACACUGGGACUGAGACACGGCCCAGACUCCUACGGGAGGCAGCAGUGGGGAAUUUUGGACAAUGGGGGCAACCCUGAUCCAGCCAUGCCGCGUGUGUGAAGAAGGCCUUCGGGUUGUAAAGCACUUUCGGACGGAACGAAAUCGCACGGGUGAAUAUCCCGUGUGGAUGACGGUACUGUAAGAAGAAGCACCGGCUAACUACGUGCCAGCAGCCGCGGUAAUACGUAGGGUGCGAGCGUUAAUCGGAAUUACUGGGCGUAAAGCGUGCGCAGGCGGCUUCGCAAGUCAGGCGUGAAAUCCCCGGGCUUAACCUGGGAAUGGCGUCUGAAACUACGGAGCUGGAGUGUGGCAGAGGGAGGUAGAAUUCCACGUAGCGGUGAAAUGCGUAGAUAUGUGGAGGAAUACCGAUGGCGAAGGCAGCCUCCUGGGCCAACACUGACGCUCAUGCACGAAAGCGUGGGGAGCAAACAGGAUUAGAUACCCUAGUAGUCC